rnacentral:rRNA from 1 species
GACGAGGCACUACGGUGCUGAAGCAACAAAUGCCCUGCUUCCAGGAAAAGCCUCUAAGCAUCAGGUAACAUCAAAUCGUACCCCAAACCGACACAGGUGGUCAGGUAGAGAAUACCAAGGCGCUUGAGAGAACUCGGGUGAAGGAACUAGGCAAAAUGGUGCCGUAACUUCGGGAGAAGGCACGCUGACACGUAGGUGAAGUGAUUUACUCACGGAGCUGAAGUCAGUCGAAGAUACCAGCUGGCUGCAACUGUUUAUUAAAAACACAGCACUGUGCAAACACGAAAGUGGACGUAUACGGUGUGACGCCUGCCCGGUGCCGGAAGGUUAAUUGAUGGGGUCAGCGCAAGCGAAGCUCCUGAUCGAAGCCCCGGUAAACGGCGGCCGUAACUAUAACGGUCCUAAGGUAGCGAAAUUCCUUGUCGGGUAAGUUCCGACCUGCACGAAUGGCGUAAUGAUGGCCAGGCUGUCUCCACCCGAGACUCAGUGAAAUUGAACUCGCUGUGAAGAUGCAGUGUACCCGCGGCAAGACGGAAAGACCCCGUGAACCUUUACUAUAGCUUGACACUGAACAUUGAGCCUUGAUGUGUAGGAUAGGUGGGAGGCUUUGAAGCGUGGACGCCAGUCUGCGUGGAGCCGACCUUGAAAUACCACCCUUUAAUGUUUGAUGUUCUAACGUGGACCCGUAAUCCGGGUUGCGGACAGUGUCUGGUGGGUAGUUUGACUGGGGCGGUCUCCUCCUAAAGAGUAACGGAGGAGCACGAAGGUUGGCUAAUCCUGGUCGGACAUCAGGAGGUUAGUGCAAUGGCAUAAGCCAGCUUGACUGCGAGCGUGACGGCGCGAGCAGGUGCGAAAGCAGGUCAUAGUGAUCCGGUGGUUCUGAAUGGAAGGGCCAUCGCUCAACGGAUAAAAGGUACUCCGGGGAUAACAGGCUGAUACCGCCCAAGAGUUCAUAUCGACGGCGGUGUUUGGCACCUCGAUGUCGGCUCAUCACAUCCUGGGGCUGAAGUAGGUCCCAAGGGUAUGGCUGUUCGCCAUUUAAAGUGGUACGCGAGCUGGGUUUAGAACGUCGUGAGACAGUUCGGUCCCUAUCUGCCGUGGGCGCUGGAGAACUGAGGGGGGCUGCUCCUAGUACGAGAGGACCGGAGUGGACGCAUCACUGGUGUUCGGGUUGUCAUGCCAAUGGCACUGCCCGGUAGCUAAAUGCGGAAGAGAUAAGUGCUGAAAGCAUCUAAGCACGAAACUUGCCCCGAGAUGAGUUCUCCCUGAGACUUAGAGUCUCCUGAAGGAACGUUGAAGACGACGACGUUGAUAGGCCGGGUGUGUAAGCGCAGCGAUGCGUUGAGCUAACCGGUACUAAUGAACCGUGAGGCUUAACCUUACAACGCCGAAG